GUGGUGCAGAAAUGAAUGAUGAUAAUUUUUUGAAGCACAGUUCAAAUAAACACAAUGGUAUGGCAAAAUCCCAAGAUGUUGUAGAAGCAUCACAAACAACGCUUCAUUUUUCUAAGAUCCUUCCAACUGCCCCUGUUACAUGUGAUAGCAUUGAUGAAAUGCAUGAAGAAGAAGUCAAAAGUGUAAAACAAAAAUUCUGCAAUGAUACUGAUAUAUCACAAAAGGUUACAUUCAAAAACUGUCAUGAUUUGUAAAAGUGUAAUAGCACAUUUGCACAUAUAUACCCUAACCCUAACCGUACAUCCUGUGUCCGAAGUGCAGGAGUCACCAUUGCACUAUGGUGAUAGCAGGGAGGGCACAUUGUAUAUACACUUUGUGUAUAUACACUUGUUUAUAUAUGAUUUACAAAAACACGUGGAUACAGAAAGAAAACAAACAAAACUACAGCAUCAAGAG